AUGGCUCAGGACGAACGGCUGGCGGCGUGCUUAACACAUGCAAGUCGAACGAAGCAGCAGUGAAGGAGGCUUCGGCCAAUGGAUCUGUUGACUUAGUGGCGGACGGGUGAGUAACGCGUGAGCAACCUGCCUUUCAGAGGGGGAUAACGUUUGGAAACGAACGCUAAUACCGCAUGAAGUAUCUUUGCUGCAUGACAGAGAUACCAAAGGAGCAAUCCGCUGAAAGAUGGGCUCGCGUCCGAUUAGAUAGUUGGUGGGGUAACGGCCUACCAAGUCGACGAUCGGUAGCCGGACUGAGAGGUUGAACGGCCACAUUGGGACUGAGACACGGCCCAGACUCCUACGGGAGGCAGCAGUGGGGAAUAUUGCACAAUGGGCGAAAGCCUGAUGCAGCAACGCCGCGUGAGGGAAGACGGUUUUCGGAUUGUAAACCUUUGUCCUUGGUGAAGAUAGUGACGGUAGCCGAGGAGGAAGCCACGGCUAACUACGUGCCAGCCGCCGC
rnacentral:rRNA from 1 species